rnacentral:rRNA from 1 species
CUAUGCGCCUUGCCAGCCCGCUCAGGUGUGCCAGCAGCCGCGGUAAUACGUAGGUGGCAAGCGUUAUCCGGAUUUACUGGGUGUAAAGGGCGUGUAGGCGGGAAAGCAAGUCAGAUGUGAAAACCACGGGCUCAACCUGUGGCCUGCAUUUGAAACUGUUUUUCUUGAGUACUGGAGAGGCAGACGGAAUUCCUAGUGUAGCGGUGAAAUGCGUAGAUAUUAGGAGGAACACCAGUGGCGAAGGCGGUCUGCUGGACAGCAACUGACGCUGAGGCGCGAAAGCGUGGGAGCAAACAGG